GCUUUCACGCCCCCUCCCUUAGACUUAAAUUGAGGGUGUGUGGCCGUGAUGUCACAAGCGGGGGAAUUAUUGACGUCCGCCCCGCAUCGUUCAGUGCACCGGAAGUUCACUCCGUGCACCAGAUGUAUGGGGUGCCGUAGUAGAGAUCGCAGGGGUCCCAGUGCCAGGAGCUGCGUGAUCAGACAUCUUAUCCCCUAUCCUUUGGAUAGGGGAUAAGAUGUCUAGGGGCGGAGUACCCCUUUAAACAUGUCUUUACGUAAAAAAAAAAUAAAUUCAGUCUGCUUUCAGCUACCACUACAGAGAUUCACCAACUCCCAUCAUGCCGCUAGUGCCACAGGUGACCGAAGUGAGAGAGUCCAAGUUUCUUUGGCUGCAACAGGGACAGAGAGACACAUGCAUAAGGAGGUUCAAUUUAGUUACUGGGUGUAAAGAACGCAGUUUUUUGUCACAAUUAGAUAGAUCAUAGAAAAAAAUAAAAGAAAAGAAAAGAAAAGUAGCCAAGAAGUAUGUCUUUCUCCAUGAGUAAGACUUGUUAAGUCGAAACACGUCGGAGGUGUUUUCCUUCUGUGCAUAUGUACUUUUAAUCCACUUUCGUGUUUUUGGAUUUUACUAUGGAUCAAUAAAAUUUAUAUUUUUUACUCAUAUGGGAGCCAGACUUUUUCACCCUACCUUUUUCUGAUGAGUCCACCUGGAGACACGGCUUCAGUGUUAGCCCGGAGCUUCCAACCUGAGAUGUACUGAGAGGAACGAUAUCUGUCUAUGUGGAUUUAUGGACAGUUUCGGGGUUCUUGCCCCUGAUAUGCAUGGAGCAGGGCACUGGCAAACCAGAUAAUUUAAAUUGGAGAAGGAGACUUCUUUUCAGGCAAUGCUCGAGGUAAUCAACAGGAACAUUGGAGGAUAUUCGGCUUCCAACAAGGUAAAAUUCAAGGCUUUAUUCCAAAACUUAGUUAAAAUCCAAGUGUAACACAGCAAAAGUAGUAUAAAAAAUACAAAACAAAACGCACCAACGCAUUUCAACUUGUUAACAGGGCAUUAGUUUAGGAUACAACACAGCAAUAUAUAACUGCUCCUACAUGUGAUGAAAUGACCACAGGGAAAAAGGUAAGGAAUGGAAAGAGAGACAGGUACAAGUUAUACGGCAUAUACAAAUAUAUACAAAUCUAAAAUCAUGACAAUAACCAUGUUGUGUUGGAUGCUGGAGUGACAAAGUCACUGGGUGAUAAUUGGUUUUGCAAGGAACCCGCUUUGCGUGGAACUACUCGGAUCCCUAUUACUAUAUACAUAAUGUCAUCAUAUUUCAGGAUGGGAAGAUGUUUAAAAAUGAUCUUUGAUAUGUCCUCAAAUUGAUUAGAAUAUGGUGUGGUGAAUGUGGAACUACUGUUAUGAGAGGAAUUUGGAACAGUGUUAUAUCUUGGUUUAUCCUAUAAGUUUCCCAACCAGGGUGCCUCCAGCUGUUUCCCAACCAGGGUGUCUCCAUCAGGGCAGGAGGUGGUGUAAUGGUGUAGGGCAGUGUUUCCCAACCAGGGUGCC